rnacentral:lncRNA from 1 species
UUUGGAUUAUAAAGCAAGGAUAUUUUGGUAUAAUCACUAUAGUAAAGUUUGUGAUGAAUUUGUGUUUGUAUCUGUUUCUUUUGUAGACUUAGAUGGUUUGUUUGUUGAACACACUUCUACAGAUUCACCAAUAGUUUUACUAUGUACAAGUUUAUUUACAAAACAUAUAAAACACAAUGUGAAGUACAAAACUAAACAUUUGUCUGGAGAGACUGGAUGAUAUGACUUGCGAUGAAAUGAGAAUGAUCAAAAUAAACUUUCCACAGAAGAGUUACUGUGAGCACCCACAGAGGAAAUGCCCUAAAAGGUUGACUCAGAAAGCCUCAGAAGUCCACUGCUGUCCAGUUCAUUUCUAUACAACCUAUCGGGAAAUCUACUUCCAUGGAGAAUUGCAAUGGAAGCUCUCUCUUGCUGAGAUCUUCCAAAUACAUUAAAUUGGGAGCCCACCAAGUCUGGCUUACUCCACUUGCUUUCUGUGUGACCUUCAUUCCUCUUUUCUAUUCUCUCCUUGCCACAGUGUCAGCUCUCUUAAUUUCCAUGUCCAACAAAUAUUAAUGGCAUUCAAUAAAUAUUAAAAGUAAAAAAAUACUAUUUUAAUAUUCUAAAAGGAAUCAAUAGAUUCAACAUACAUAAGCA